AUGCGGAUGUUCUCCAAGGCCUGCUCGCUCGUCGUCUCCUCCCUCCCGCGCUGCUCCUCCUCCGCCCCCGCGAUUAGGGGCCAGCCGUCGUUGAUACCGAGGGUGAGCAGGAAAUGGCUCGGGAAGCCGCUCAUGUACGGGAUCGGCACGCUGCUGGUCAUGCCCCUGAGGACCAUCCACGGGGUGGGCCGGAUGUUCGGCGCCGCGCGCUACCUCUGCAACAUGACCAGCGUCUCCUCGUCGCUGCAAAUCGAGCUCGUACCCUGUCUUCAAGAUAACUAUGCGUACAUCUUGCAUGAUGUGGAUACUGGGACAGUUGGAGUGGUAGACCCUUCUGAGGCGGUGCCUAUCAUAAACGCAUUGGAAAAGAGAAACCAGAACUUGACCUACAUAUUAAACACCCAUCAUCACUAUGAUCAUACUGGUGGCAACUUGGAACUGAAGGCGACAUAUGGUGCAAAGGUAAUUGGUUCUGAGAAGGAUAAAGAUCGAAUUCCUGGCAUUGACAUAACUCUGAGUGAGGGUGACACAUGGAUGUUUGCGGGUCAUCAAGUUCUUGUAAUGGAAACUCCUGGUCAUACAUCAGGUCAUGUGAGCUUUUAUUUCCCUGGAUCUGGAGCAAUAUUUACAGGUGAUACCUUGUUUAGUCUAUCAUGUGGAAAGCUUUUUGAGGGGACUCCAGAACAGAUGUACUCUUCACUACAAAAAAUUGUAGCUCUUCCAGAUGUGACAAAGGUGUACUGUGGACAUGAAUAUACUCUGAGUAAUUCAAGGUUUGCCUUGAGCAUAGAACCAGGAAAUGAAGAACUUCAGGAAUACGCUGCAAGUACAGCUGAUCUGCGCAAUAAGAAUACACCAACGGUGCCAACAACAAUUGCGAGAGAGAAGCAGUGCAAUCCUUUCUUGAGGACCUCAAGUCCAGAGAUAAAGAAAAGGCUGUCCAUUCCAGAUCAUUUCGAUGAUGCACGUGUUCUUGAAGUUAUCCGACGGGCGAAGGAUAAUUUUUGA
rnacentral:rRNA from 1 species